rnacentral:lncRNA from 1 species
CUCUAAGGUUUCUACUUGUCAAAUGGUAUGCUAAAUUGGACUUCAUCCAGUUAGGAUAUCCUUUGAAAUACUUCCAUACCACUAAGUCACAGGGGUGCCUCAUCUUUUUUUAUUUUAUUCUUACUAAAAUUGUCCCACUACUUUCGAAAAGAAUGAUGCUCAGGGAGAAAUUGACGAUGACAAUUGAACCAAUAGGGCUUAUGACUAUGCUCAAGUUAAAAUACUUUUAUAUUCUCUAUGCAAUAGGAAC